GGCCCUUUAGCUCAGCUGGAUAGAGCACAUGCCUUCUAAGCAUGUUGUCGGGCGUUCGACUCGCCCAUGGGUCA
rnacentral:tRNA from 1 species